GGGCGGCUUGGGCGGGGGUCGGCCGGGCCCUGGGCGCCGGGCGCGCCCUGCUUCGGCUGCUGGGCCGCUCCCC
rnacentral:tRNA from 1 species